AAAAGCUUUACCUUCCAUAGGGAAAUAGAUCAAUUAAACAAUUCAAACAACACCAAAUACAAAGUUAUUUGGAUACUUUAAAGGUAUAAAAUGACAAACCAAACAAAAUUUGCAAAAAAAAAAAAAAGGUUUCAUUUGAAUCAGGAAAGGAACUGGUGCUGUGGCAAACCAUGGCUACCAGCAUUUCCUAAUUCCAAGUCUAGUACAAACUGAUACUAAAUCUAAGAAUAAAUAUACCAAAAAUCGCCUUAGAGGAGAUCAGCAACAUUGGCUGGG
rnacentral:misc_RNA from 1 species